GAAGAGCGCGCUUACACUCAAAGGAGAAAUGCCGCAUCCAUAUGAGUGAGCAAGUUAGUGAGAGAGGGAAACACUUCUACGAGGCUACGUUCUUUGUUAAUGUUAAUAUCUACAGAGGCAACGCCUCUCUGCAAAGUGACCGGAGACGUGCACUCUCAAAAAGAAGCUCUGUUCCCUAACUGAUGAGCAGCAUUAUUCAAACACCGUCUUCAUUGUCACUGCGGUGCACAAGUCGGCACAUUGCUGUCACAGGUUGCUGCAUUGGAUGUACUGUGUCCUCAUUUAGAUCAGCUUUCGGUUUAUCUCAAGUUACAAUUCAAGAAAUGCGUCCUAAACAGAAAUCUGUAAUCACAAGCAACAACAACAGCGUGAUGGGAUCCAAUAAAAAGCUAUAGUAUGUCAAAAGGUAUUCAUUAUAUAGAUUUUUUAUAUUAUUCAUAUUAUAAGAUAAGGGUAUUUUGACAGUGGCCACUACAGUGGACAGCUAUGCACACCUUUAACUUUUUAUAGUGUAGUUUUACCUCUGGAACAAGUUACCUGAAGGUCUGAAGGUGUGGUCAAACCAUCAACUCUUUUAAAUCAGGGCUAAAAACGCUAAUGUUUACCACAGGUUAUUCAUAACUGUCUAUUUAUUUCAAAUUUUAGGUUAUUUGCUUUUUAUUCAUUUUUUUGUUUUAUUUCUAUUUCCAACUUCAAUUAUUUUGUAAUCCUCCUGAUGAUUUAGUUUGAUAUUCAUGUAUAAUUGUAUUUCUUUUUUCAAUGGUCUCUGUUUUUUACUUUCUUUUUGAUUUAAUGUGGUUUUUACAAAUCAUUUUAUCUGUUUUUGGAUCUUCAUGUGAUGCAAAGCACUUUGAAUUGCCUUGUGUUGAAUUAUGCUAUACAAAUAAAUUUUCCUUGCCAUGUCUUGCCUAUAGACCCUACUCACAUGAUGUUACAACCACGCCCCCGCGCCAUAUUGUCCAUCAACUCGUCACUGUUGAUGCAUUACCGCUACGUAAAUUCCUCCUAUUAUGGCGUGUUUUUCUGCUCGUUAACAUUAAUAAUCAAAAUGGUGAAGGCGUGUGUGGCGGUCGGUUGCAAUAACAGAGAAGAUAGACGGAGAGACUUGAAGUUUCACCGGAUUCCGAGAGACCCGGAGAGGAGAGCGAGAUGGGCUGCUGCAAUUCGACGAGAAAACUGGGAUCCAAAUGAUUACCACAGAUUAUGUAGUAGUCAUUUUAUAUCUGGUAAGAUGCAUUUAAUAUAUAUUUAGAGGGUUUUGGGCUGACAACCACAAUUAAGAUCAUUGCUAGGCUAAUCGCCGACAACAUACACUCAGACGUUGUGAAUGAACUACCUGAAAAUAUACAAUUAUAAGGGGAUAAUAAGACAGUUGUCAUACAAUUAAUUUACAUUUUCACUAUUGAGGUCAAAAGCCAAAAAAUAAAUUCAACUAGGGACAAUCUGGAGUAGUGCUAUCCCACUUCAUAUUUAUUACAUAUUAUAUAUGUAUGUAGUGAGAGUGCUAUCGCUAAACCAUAUAAACAUUAAAAGCCCUAGCUCCAUUGACAAAUGACAUGAAUGCAUUAGACUUGACAGUGGAUGUUAGCAAGAACAAAAGAUUUUGAAUUGAAAAUUUCUUAACUCACCUUCCCGAGCACAAGAUAGAUUCCUGCCGAAUUUUCGUGGACGAGGACCUGUUUCCCCCAACCAGCAACGAAGUAUAAGCCUCAAAGCUCUUAAAGUUUUUCAAACUUUCGUGAGAAUAGGCUGAUUUUGUGUGGACAUGAUAGUUGUAAAUAUCAGGGUAGCAGAUGUCAGGCAGAGACGGCAGAGACAGCGGGUCGAAAAACAUCUAUUUAGGCAUCAAAUAGGGAUCUGGCGAAUGGAUAAACUGAAACUUUUCCACAUAACGCCUUUUAUGCAACGCAUCCAAUGAGUUUACAGCGUCAGAUAACACCGGGGCUUCCAUGAAUUGCUCUAUAAAUUGCACGACUAAUUGAAACCAUUGAGAAUAGGGCUAAAAAAUGAUUGACAAUAUGGCGGCCGGAUACAGCGACACGUCAUGACGUAGGUGAGUAGGGUCUAUAGCAUCCCAAAAACAUGUAUGGUAGGCUGAUCCAACACACUAAAUUGUCCAUAGGUUUGAGUGUGUGCUCGAAUGGUUGUUCGCCUCCUUGUGCCCAGCGAUUGGCUUGCUACCAAUUCAGGGUGUACCCCGCCUGCGAUUUGCUCCAGCACACCCGUGACCCUCGUGAGGAUAAGCAGCUGGGAAAAUGAAUGAAUGACGGUACAGAAUAUCACUGAA